CAAACCCUCUCAGGCGGCACCGGUUUGGCCCAAAAGUCCAUCGGUCUCUGCUCGAAGCCCUCGUCUCUGUACCUUCCCCUCUCCCGCUUUCGGCCGGCAACGACGGGAUCGCGGCGGCGUACAGAGACCACAGAGACUCAAAUCUGUCUACUCCUUCCGCUCCGAUACUAUCCGAAAUUAUUGAUUAAGACAGGGCCAAAUGAUUCGCAUUUCUUCCAUUGCUACCGGUUCAUGACAGAGGGGCCCUCCAAGAGGCGGUUAUCGGAUUCUGAUGGCCGCUGGCUUGGCGACAACAUCAAUUAAGGAAGGCAUGCAUGAUUAGUGGCUGUAUCUUAAUAUCUGAACAAAAUGAAUGAGCUUCAACGACACAGGAUUUUAAUGGUCUCUGACUUUUUCUAUCCAAAAUUCGGCGGGGUUGAAAGUCAUAUUUAUUAUUUAUCGCAAUGCUUGAUUAAGCUUGGCCACAAGGUGGUGGUUAUGACACAUGCUUAUGGAAAUCGCUCCGGCGUAAGAUAUAUGACUAGUGGUUUGAAAGUUUAUUAUGUACCUUGGAGACCUUUUUUCAUGCAGAAUACCUUACCGACAUUCUAUGGAACCCUUCCAAUUAUAAGGACUAUCAUCAUUCGUGAGAAGAUAUCCGUGGUGCAUGGGCACCAGGCCUUUUCGACGCUCUGUCAUGAAGCGGUAAUGCAUGCCAGAACAAUGGGAUACAAAACUGUAUUUACUGAUCAUUCUUUAUAUGGAUUUGCUGAUAUUGGAAGCAUUCACAUGAAUAAAGUGCUUCAGUUCACUCUGGCGGAUAUAGAUCAGGCUAUAUGUGUUUCUCACACAAGCAAGGAAAACACGGUUUUACGAUCUGGUGUAGCGCCGGAAAAAGUUUUUGUAAUACCCAAUGCGGUUGAUACUGCGAUGUUUACGCCAGCUGCUAAACGGCUUAGCUAUGAUGAAAUUGUUAUAGUGGUCAUUAGUAGAUUGGAAUAUCGCAAGGGUGCAGAUCUACUUGUUGAGGUUAUUCCAGAAAUAUGUCGACGGAAUCCAAAUGUUCGUUUUGUUAUUGGGGGAGAUGGUUUAAAACGUGUACGAUUGGAAGAGAUGAGGGAGAAAUAUUUCCUUCAGGACAAGGUUGAAAUGCUUGGAGCUGUUCCACAUGCUCAAGUGAGAUCUGUACUAGUAUCUGGUCAUAUUUUCCUCAACAGUUCUCUCACCGAAGCUUUUUGUAUAGCUAUUCUGGAAGCUGCAAGUUGUGGAUUACUUACUGUCAGCACAAGAGUUGGUGGAGUCCCUGAGGUUUUGCCGGAUGAUAUGAUUGUGCUUGCAGAACCUACACCCGUGGAUAUGGUCCACGCUAUCGAAAAAUCGAUUGAAAUGCUACCGAAUAUUAAUCCGGUUGCCAUGCAUGAAAGGUUGAAAAAGUUGUAUAGCUGGCAUGAUGUGGCUAAAAGAACUGAAGUUGUAUAUGAUCGUGCAUUGCUGUGCUCUGAUGAGACUCUCUUGCAACGUCUUCCUCGAUAUCUUAAAUGUGGGGCAUGGGCAGGGAAGCUGUUUUGCUUAGUUAUGAUAGUCAAUUUCUUGCUAUGGCAGCUACUUCAAUUGUGGCAGCCUUCAAAGAGUAUAGAAGAGGUGCCUGAUAUUGCCAUACUCAAGAAUAAAGACAAGGAGAAAUGCUGCUAAGAAUGCCUCGAUUUGGCUAGUUUUUUGGUAGAUAAAUUACAUUGGGGAUUACUUGUCAUUCUUUGUCAUAUUUGGAUGUAAAUAGAACUACUUUUUUGAAGAUCUUUGAAUAUUUUGGAUUGGACCUUUCUAAAGGCCAAGCUUUGCCAAACGAAGCGUAAGGCCUAAUCUUGAAGCUGCUGCUCGAAAUAUUGUUCUGUGCUUCUCUUUUGCUGUUGGAUGUUGAAGCAUGCUAUUUUAUUGGGUGCUGUAGGCUUUUCUCUCUAGGGAUUGUUGGAUGAUUUUUCUCUUCCUCCAUGGCGAUUUGUUGUGUUUCUGUAGAUUCUUUCUUCAAGCAGUUUUUAUAUUUUAUUUUGUUACCUGUAGGUGUUUUGUGAUGUCUAGUUUGUUCCUUCAGUGGUCGUUUUGUGUGACGUU